rnacentral:rRNA from 1 species
UGCCGGCGACCGGCGGACGGGUGCGUAACGCGUAUGUAACCUACCUUUGACAGGGGGAUAACAUCGAGAAAUUGGUACUAAUACCCCAUAACAUCACCGGAGGCAUCUUCGGUGGUUGAAAACUCAGGUGGUCAGAGAUGGACAUACGUUGUAUUAGCUAGUUGGUGAGGUAACGGCUCACCAAGGCGACGAUACAUAGGGGGACUGAGAGGUCAACCCCCCACAUUGGUACUGAGACACGGACCAAACUCCUACGGAAGGCAGCAG